CUGACCUCAGAUCAGGCGGAC
rnacentral:rRNA from 1 species